GGUAAUUUUAUCUUACAAUCAAUAAUAAAGGAUCAAAACAAACACAAAUAAAUGUAUAAAAACAAAGAAGAGUUAAUCUUAUCUUCUCAUCACCCCAACAAAAUAUAGAAAAAUCAACAACAACCAGCCAAACAAAGAAAGAUAAAUCUAUAUAAAACUCUAUAGGGUCUUCUCGUCCCAUAACAAAAUUUAGGUAUUUUUACCCAAAGCCCAAAUUCAAUUCAAAUCCACAAAAGACAGAUAGCACCUCGUCGAACCAUUCAUACCAGUUCACAAUUAAAGAACUAAUGAUUAUGCUACCUUUGCACGGUCAAAAUACCGCGGCCAUUCAAUAAUAUCAGUGGGCAGGUCAUACUUCAAAACACCACACAAGAAGAG
rnacentral:rRNA from 1 species